CGGGGAAUGCGGGCAGUCGCGGGAGACCCUUUAGCGGGCUCCUGAGGAAAGUCCGAACUCCGCAGAGCAGCGUGCCGGCUAACAGCCGGGCGGGCUCCCGUAAGGGUGUCCCGACGGAAAGUGCCACAGAGACCAGACCGCCGAUCCGCUCGUGGAGAGCUCCUCCACGAGGUCAUGGAGGCAAGGGUGAAAGGGUGGGGUAAGAGCCCACCAGCACCUCGGGUAACCGGGGUGGCUUGGCAAACCCCACGCGGAGCAAGACCAAAUAGGGAUGCGGACCCCGUCCCAGGGGUGACAGGUGGCUCGCCUGUGUGGGUUCCUCACCCCCCGCAUCCGGGUAGGUCGCCGGAGAGCACGGGAGACCGUGCUCCCAGAUUCAUGACUGCCUCCCCAGAACUGGGCAGACAGAAUUCGGCUUACAGCAUUCCCCGCUUG
rnacentral:RNase_P_RNA from 1 species